rnacentral:rRNA from 1 species
AACGAACGCUGGCGGCAGGCCUAACACAUGCAAGUCGAGCGAUCUUCUUCGGAAGUAGAGCGGCGGACGGGUGAGUAACGCGUGGGUAACCUGCCCUGUACACACGGAUAACAUACCGAAAGGUAUGCUAAUACGAGAUAACAUGCUUUUAUCGCAUGGUAGAAGUAUCAAAGCUCCGGCGGUACAGGAUGGACCCGCGUCUGAUUAGCUAGUUGGUAAGGUAACGGCUUACCAAGGCGACGAUCAGUAGCCGACCUGAGAGGGUGAUCGGCCACAUUGGAACUGAGACACGGUCCAGACUCCUACGGGAGUUAGCAUCAGGGAAUCUUGCGCAAUGGGGGAAACCCCGACGCAGCGACGCCGCGUGGGUGAUGAAGGUCUGCGGAUCGUAAAGCCCUGUCAGGAGGGAAGAUACUGACUGUACCUCCAGAGGAAGCCCCGGCUAACUACGUG